UCUGGAUCGUGGCGAACGGGUGAGUAACACGUGAGCAAUCUGCCCCUGACUCUGGGAUAAUCGCUGGAAACGGCGUCUAAUACCGGAUAUGAGCUGCGAAGGCAUCUUCAGCAGUUGGAAAGAAUUUCGGUCAGGGAUGAGCUCGCGGCCUAUCAGCUAGUUGGUGAGGUAAUGGCUCACCAAGGCGUCGACGGGUAGCCGGCCUGAGAGGGUGACCGGCCACACUGGGACUGAGACACGGCCCAGACUCCUACGGGAGGCAGCAGUGGGGAAUAUUGCACAAUGGGCGAAAGCCUGAUGCAGCAACGCCGCGUGAGGGACGACGGCCUUCGGGUUGUAAACCUCUUUUAGCAGGGAAGAAGCGAAAGUGACGGUACCUGCAGAAAAAGCACCGGCUAACUACGUGCCAGCAGCCGCGGUAAUACGUAGGGUGCAAGCGUUAUCCGGAAUUAUUGGGCGUAAAGAGCUCGUAGGCGGUUUGUCGCGUCUGCUGUGAAAACCCGAGGCUCAACCUCGGGCCUGCAGUGGGUACGGGCAGACUAAAGUGCGGUAGGGGAGAUUGGAAUUCCUGGUGUACCGGUGGAAUGCGCAGAUAUCAGGAGGAACACCGAUGGCGAAGGCAGAUCUCUGGGCCGUAACUGACGCUGAGGAGCGAAAGGGUGGGGAGCAA
rnacentral:rRNA from 1 species